UACGUAGGGGGCAAGCGUUGUCCGGAUUUACUGGGCGUAAAGGGCGCGUAGGCGGACAGUUAAGUUGGGGGUGAAAGCCCGGGGCUCAACCUCGGAAUUGCCUUCAAUACUGGCUGUCUUGAGUACGGGAGAGGUGUGUGGAACUCCGAGUGUAGAGGUGAAAUUCGUAGAUAUUCGGAAGAACACCAGUGGCGAAGGCGACACACUGGCCCGUUACUGACGCUGAGGCGCGAAAGCGUGGGGAGCAAACAGG
rnacentral:rRNA from 1 species